rnacentral:rRNA from 1 species
GCUACGCGUUGUAAACUGCUUUUAAUCGGGAAGAAACCCCGGGACGUGUCCCGGGUUGACGGUACCGAUGGAAUAAGCACCGGCUAACUUCGUGCCAGCAGCCGCGGUAAUACGAAGGGUGCAAGCGUUAUCCGGAUUCAUUGGGUUUAAAGGGUGCGUAGGCGGAACAAUAAGUCAGCGGUGAAAGCCCACAGCUUAACUGUGGAACUGCCGUUGAUACUGUUGUUCUUGAGUACGUUUGACGUGGGCGGAAUGUGCCGUGUAGCGGUGAAAUGCUUAGAUAUGGCACAGAACACCGAUAGUGAAGACAGCUCACGAAGACGAAACUGACGCUGAGGCACGAAAGCGUGGGGAGCGAACAGGAUUAGAUACCCUGGUAGUCCACGCCGUAAACGAUGAUCACUCGUGAUUGGCGAUACACGGUCAGUCACCUAGCGAAAGCGUUAAGUGAUCCACCUGGGGAGUACGUC